UCUCCCAGUCGGGGAAACGUGUGGUUCUGUCAGCUGGUUUCUCACGGGGGAAAGCCAGCCAAGCACCUGUGGCCUGCCCAUACCUACCAGCAGCCCAGCAGCAGCUCUUAAUACUGAGCAGCUGCCGUGGCACACUGCCUACAGCCCACUGGAGAGUGCUGAAGGCCCCCGGUUCACACAUUCACAGCGCCUGUGGGCACCAACUGCUCCGCCAGAUAAGGCCAAAAUCAUUUCUAGAAAUGGUUCUACCUCAAAUUUAUCCUCUUCCUAUUUCUUUUUCACAUUGCAGUUCUCUGCCAUGCAUUUAUUGUUAACAUCUUAAUUCAUUACCCCAGUUUGAGCAACUUUGACUCGCACAAUCGUUGCUUUUGUAGCCACAGCUGAACAGAACAGAAUGAAAAAGAAAGAAAAGCACAAGAAAAAAGAUCCUAAAGACAGUAGCACUGUGUACAUUCUGUUUUGCUGUCUGACAGCACAGAGAGAGAAGUGUCACAAAAAGUAUUUGCAGAUUUGGGCAAAGCAUGUGCAGUCUCAGUAGCAGAACAGAUCUUGAGAAACAGAAAGUCAGAAGGCUGAAGGGGCAUCUUUAAUUUUCAAGCUGCAAGGGGAAAAGCAACAGCAUCAGAAAGAGAAGAUGGAAAUGGUGGUCCCAGUGACUCAUCUUGAGGGAGGAGAAAACAGGAGGAGGCACUGUAAGGACAUCUGCUGGAGCACCUCGUGCUGGCCUUUGCUGUGCAAUGGUGGAUGUUGUGACAGAGAUAACUUUGCAGCCUGUAAGGGAGGAGGAUCCUCUCCAACAAACAGAAGAGGCAGCUUCCUAGAACUCAACCAGGAACUCAGUGAUGGGUCAUGCACAGCACCACACUGUACAGAGGUAUCUCAGCAGGCCUUAUAGGCUGGAAACGGAGUCAUUUGCUCCAGAGUCAUUAGGGCUGUGCUUCCACCUCCAUGCACCCACGGUGAGGACAGGGAGCAGAGGCACAUGCUUAAUGGUUUCAAUACAGGGGAAACAGAAGGAAGCCUGUUUUACUCCACUUCAUGUAAUAAUUCCUAUACUGCAAGAAAACAAUUAAUUAAAAAAAUAAGUUACCUGGCAAAAUUGUAAUGUUUUCUAUCAAAGGAUUGAUUCUAAAAUAAAUACCACACAUGUGGCGUGCUGGACAUUACACAGCACUUGUACAUCAAAGUAAUCCAAAGCUUAAUGGCCAUACCCGGAGGCAUGCAGAAUGCACC
rnacentral:lncRNA from 1 species